rnacentral:sRNA from 23 species
AUAUCAAAAAAGCUGAAUUCCUGUGUAAAGAGCACAGGAUAGGGGGGACCCACUUUUUCGGGGUGAAUCAAGGCAUCUUGCCUUGUAGGGCAAAUAUCCCUUUCUGCCCGAACCCGUCAGCUAACCCCCGAAGCUUUGAAAGGGAGGUUUG